rnacentral:lncRNA from 1 species
AUCACACACCAUCUAACAUAUCUCUUACCAUUUACUUUGCAGUGGCUGUCAGGUGCAUGAUGGGAAGUGGGCUGGCAGGGGACAGCAGUGUGGUGGAGGACCAGAAUCAAUUGGCAGUGUAAUGAGAUGGCGACGCGCCAGGUUGCCAUGGAGCUCACUUGGGCUGUCCUUCACAGGAGGAUUUGUAAAUGAGAGAGAGAGAGAGAGAGAGAGAGAGAGAGAGAGAGAGAGAGAGAGAGAGAGAGAGAGAGAGAGAUGAAGAAAGGCAGAGAGAGAGAGAGAUGAAGAAAGGCAGAGAGAGAGAGAGAGAGAUGAAGAAAGGCAGAGAGAGGGGUAAAGGGAUGAAGAAAGGCAGAGAGAGGGGUAAAGGGAUGAAGAAAGGCAGAGAGAGGGGUAAAGGGAUGAAGAAAGGCAGAGAGAGGGGUAAAGGGAUGAAGAAAGACAGAGAGAAAAAGAAAGGAGGACUGAGAUAGUGGGAAAAGGGCUGUGUAUAGUGAAAAUAAAGCCUGUUCGGGGUUGAGAGGGUUGUUAUGGAGAAGAGAUGAAGAAUGAGUUAAAGAGAAAUGAAAAGACUACAGUAAGAAUCUGUGUGUGUUCUGAUGCUGUUAUCCCAACGGCUUGAACUGUUUGCCCUUGAAUUGCUUUUGGGCAUACUGAAUGUGUAGUUUUAAACCUAAUCUGAUGUUCAGAAACAAAAGAAAGGAACCUACCUUGUCUGCCGGUAUUGAUUUCUUUCCCCUGUUCCUUCUCUCUUGCCAAAAGCAUCGCUGCUUUCUCUUCAAACGGAAUGGAAUUAGUCUGUUUGAUUUCAAUGUAAAUAUGCACAUCGCUUCAUCAUGUUGACGUGUCAAUCAGGGGCUGCUAUGCAAUAUGUGGGAGAGCAGUUUGUGUCACAACAGUGUCACUACCACAACAAAAUACAACUUUGUUUUGGUAUUGACAGUUUCGGGUGUGACAAUUAAUACCUCUUUUCCAAUUUUCCAAAUAACUGUUGCUAAUACAUUAUAUGGUCGACACUAUUUGUCACAGCUGCUGACGACUGCCAUGUAUAAAUGGAAUUUGCAAUCCGCUUCACCGUCUUCGAAUACUUAUUUUGGCCCUUGA